GGCCUGGGCCGGCACGGCCCGGUCUAGGCCCGCGGGCCAAGCACGGCACGGCCCGCGGGCCAGCACGGCACGGCCCAUAAGGGCCUGGGCCGGGCUGGCACGCGAGCCUGGCACGGUCCGGGCCUGGGCCCGGCUCGGCCCGAUAAAAUUUUUUUAAUAAAUUAAUAAAUAUUGAACACUAAGAAAUCUUGAUUUAUGAA
rnacentral:lncRNA from 1 species